UACGGGGGGAGCAAGCGUUGUUCGGAUUUACUGGGCAUAAAGGGCGCGUAGGCGGCCUCCGCAAGUCAGUUGUGAAAUCUCCGAGCUUAACUCGGAAAGGUCAACUGAUACUGCGGGGCUAGAGUGCGGAAGGGGCAACUGGAAUUCUUGGUGUAGCGGUGAAAUGCGUAGAUAUCAAGAGGAACACCUGCGGCGAAGGCGGGUUGCUGGGCCGACACUGACGCUGAGGCGCGAAAGCUAGGGGAGCGAACGGG
rnacentral:rRNA from 1 species